rnacentral:tRNA from 2 species
GGUCCCGUAGCUCAGCUGGAUAGAGCAACGGAUUUCUAAUCCGUAGGUCGCAAGUUCGAAUCUUGCCGGGAUCACCA